rnacentral:rRNA from 1 species
CCUACGGGAGGCAGCAGUGGGGAAUAUUGCACAAUGGGCGCAAGCCUGAUGCAGCCAUGCCGCGUGUGUGAAGAAGGCCUUCGGGUUGUAAAGCACUUUCAGCGGGGAGGAAGGCGGUGAGGUUAAUAACCUCAUCGAUUGACGUUACCCGCAGAAGAAGCACCGGCUAACUCCGUGCCAGCAGCCGCGGUAAUACGGAGGGUGCAAGCGUUAAUCGGAAUUACUGGGCGUAAAGCGCACGCAGGCGGUCUGUCAAGUCGGAUGUGAAAUCCCCGGGCUCAACCUGGGAACUGCAUUCGAAACUGGCAGGCUAGAGUCUUGUAGAGGGGGGUAGAAUUCCAGGUGUAGCGGUGAAAUGCGUAGAGAUCUGGAGGAAUACCGGUGGCGAAGGCGGCCCCCUGGACAAAGACUGACGCUCAGGUGCGAAAGCGUGGGGAGCAAACAGGAUUAGAUACCCGAGUAUUC